rnacentral:rRNA from 1 species
AGAUUGAACGCUGGCGGUAUGCUUAACACAUGCAAGUCGAACGGCAGCACAGGGUAGCUUGCUAUCCGGGUGGCGAGUGGCGGACGGGUGAGUAACGCGUAGGAAUCUACCUUUUCGUGGGGGAUAACCCGGGGAAACUCGGGCUAAUACCGCAUACGCCCUACGGGGGAAAGCGGGGGACCUUCGGGCCUCGCGCGGAACGAUGAGCCUGCGUCCUAUCAGGUAGUUGGUGAGGUAAUGGCUCACCAAGCCGACGACGGGUAGCUGGUCUGAGAGGACGACCAGCCACACUGGGACUGAGACACGGCCCAGACUCCUACGGGAGGUCAGCAGUGGGGAAUAGUUGGACAAUGGGGGAAACCCUGAUCCAGCAAUACCGCGUGUGUGAAGAAGGCCUUGGUUGUAAAGACACUUUAGCUAGAAAGAAAGACUGUGCGCUAAUACCGACAUUGCUUUGACGUUACUUAGUACAAGUAAAAAAGACCACCGGACUAACGUCCGU